rnacentral:snoRNA from 1 species
AUACCAUGGUGUGGACAUUUUCUUAACAUUGCUUUUAAUCGUUCCCAUGCUUGGUAUACAGAUUAAGAAUCUGUUUGCAUAAAAUUAUUGAUUUCUUGCUUCAUUUU